rnacentral:rRNA from 1 species
GAUGAACGCUGGCGGCGUGCCUAACACAUGCAAGUCGAGCGAACAGACGAGGAGCUUGCUCCUCUGACGUUAGCGGCGGACGGGUGAGUAACACGUGGAUAACCUGCCUAUAAGACUGGGAUAACUUCGGGAAACCGGAGCUAAUACCGGAUAAUAUAUUGAACCGCAUGGCUCAAUAGUGAAAGACGGUUUUGCUGUCACUUAUAGAUGGAUCCGCGCCGCAUUAGCUAGUUGGUAAGGUAACGGCUUACCAAGGCGACGAUGCGUAGCCGACCUGAGAGGGUGAUCGGCCACACUGGAACUGAGACACGGUCCAGACUCCUACGGGAGGCAGCAGUAGGGAAUCUUCCGCAAUGGGCGAAAGCCUGACGGAGCAACGCCGCGUGAGUGAUGAAGGUCUUCGGAUCGUAAAACUCUGUUAUUAGGGAAGAACAAAUGUGUAAGUAACUAUGCACGUCUUGACGGUACCUAAUCAGAAAGCCACGGCUAACUACGUG